rnacentral:rRNA from 1 species
UACGGAGGGUGCGAGCGUUGUCCGGAAUCACUGGGCGUAAAGGGCGCGUAGGCGGCGCGAGUAGUCAACGGUGAAAGCCCGGGGCUCAACCCCGGGUCGGCCGUCGAUACUCUCGUGCUUGAGCACUGUAGAGGCAGGUGGAAUUCCGGGUGUAGCGGUGAAAUGCGCAGAUAUCAGGAGGAACACCGAUGGCGAAGGCAGGUCUCUGGGCAGUUACUGACGCUGAGGAGCGAAAGCAUGGGGAGCGAACAGG